CAGUAGCCACGGUAAUACGAAGGGGGCUAGCGUUGUUCGGAUUUACUGGGCGUAAAGGGCGCGUAGGCGGGCUGAUAAGUCGGGGGUGAAAUCCCAAGGCUCAACCUUGGAACUGCCUUUGAUACUGUUGGUCUUGAGUCCGGGAGAGGUGAGUGGAACUGCGAGUGUAGAGGUGAAAUUCGUAGAUAUUCGCAAGAACACCAGUGGCGAAGGCGGCUCACUGGCCCGGAACUGACGCUGAGGCGCGAAAGCGUGGGGAGCAAACAGGAUUAGAUACCCGCGUAGUCCCUGUCUCUUAUAC
rnacentral:rRNA from 1 species